rnacentral:rRNA from 1 species
GAUGAACGCUGACAGAAUGCUUAACACAUGCAAGUCCACUUGAAUUUGGGUUUUUAACUUAGGUUUGGGUGGCGGACGGGUGAGUAACGCGUAAAGAACUUGCCUCACAGCUAGGGACAACAUUUGGAAACGAAUGCUAAUACCUAAUAUUAUGAUAAUAGGGCAUCCUAUAAUUAUGAAAGCUAUAAGCGCUGUGAGAGAGCUUUGUGUCCCAUUAGCUAGUUGGAGAGGUAACGGCUCACCAAGGCGAUGAUGGGUAGCCGGCCUGAGAGGGUGAUCGGCCACAAGGGGACUGAGACACGGCCCUUACUCCUACGGGAGGCAGCAGUGGGGAAUAUUGGACAAUGGACCGAGAGUCUGAUCCAGCAAUUCUGUGUGCACGAUGAAGUUUUUCGGAAUGUAAAGUGCUUUCAGUUGGGAAGAAACAAAUGACGGUACCAACAGAAGAAGUGACGGCUAAAUACGUG